CAAAAGACUGAAAAGAGGAACUUGAACAAAUCCUUGUAUGAGAAUGUUCACAGCAGCACUAUCCACAGCAGCCAAAAGAUGGAAAUAAUCCAAAUGUCCAUCAACGGAUAAGUGAGCUUAAGGUACUGUGACCGAGCUUUCAUGGAAAUCAGGAAGAUUCUGAGAGAAUCCAAAUGUGACCAUCUGGGAGAGUUAAGAGAAGAAAAUACACCAUGUGGAGAGACAAGGACUGCCACUCCUGGAGUUCCAAAUGGACAGAAGGAGAGAGCUUCCUCGCAUCUUUGGGAAAAUCCUAUCUACAUAGCAUAAAUGCCCCAUACUCCACCCUGGAAGAGGCUAAUCAGGGGCACCUCCUCAUGGGUGCCAGAUAUUAGAAGAUUUUACAGGCUCCAUUGCGGCAGAAGGUAAUCAAAAAGGCCCAAGCCCCACCCUACAGAGAGCAGCAGCAUGACCUUAAACUGCCUUUGCUGGUCACUUGGAGAGGGAGGGUCCAUUUUCCUCAGUGGGCAACAAAGCCGCUGAUAAUCAGGUGCACACAUGACGUGGAUGUAACCUGCUGAGGAAGUGUCUGAUAUACCAAAGGAGCCAGGACUCACAACAAGCCUGGCCAGGAAAAAGAAGCCUCAGAGAACCCCAGAGCAGCCUCUACUUUGUAGAUGAUAUGAGUAAAUACAACGCAGACAGCCACUUAGCAAGUUCAGAGCCACUUCCAAACGACGCUGAGGGCCUGGUGUCAGCUCCUGCACAGCAGGCUCCAUUCUCUCCCCUUCAGGCUGUGUGCAUGUUCACUCCAGUGAGUCACAAAGACACAUUCCCAGGUGCGCACCUGGCCAAAAGCACAGAAGAGGAAGUCGCACAUGUGACCAUCCUCUGCCAACCAGCCCACGUGUACAGCAGAAAUCAGUAUUGUUUGCCUCUGUAAUAAAAUCAUUGCAUAAAUUUUGUAGAGCUUUGAAUCGGCCUCGUAAGUGUCACCAGGCAACUCUUCCAAGAAGGGUAGGGGGAUGGUGAGGUAGAGAACUCCAGGGACACAGAAAAGGACCAUGGUGUGUUUCUUGCAAAGCCCUUGUGCUGGAAAUGCUAUGAAGGCAAAAACUUUAUGCUGACCAUGAAACCCAAUCAAUAUAACACAAAAUUCAGGCCAGGUACAAUGGCUCACACCUGUAAUUCCAGCAUUUUGGGAAGCCAAGGCGGGCAGAUUGCUUUAGCUCAGGAGUUCGAGACAAGCCUGGGCAAACAUGGCGAAACCCCGUCUCUAUAGAAAAUACAAAAAAAGGCCAGGAGUAGUGGCUCAUGCCUGUAAUCCCAGCACUUUGGGAGGCCGAGGCAGGCAGAUCACCUGAGGUCAGGAGUUCAAGACUAGCCUGGCCAGCAUGGUGAAACCCUGUCUCUACUAAAAAAUACAAAAAUUAGCCAGGUGUAGUGGUGGGUACCUGUAAUCUCAGCUACUUGGGAGGCUGCGGCAGGAGAAUCGCUUGAACCUGGGAGUGGGAGGUUGCAGGGAGCCAAGAUCACACCACUGCACUCCAGCCUGGGCAACAAGAGUGAAACUCCAUCUAAAAAAAAGAAAAAAAAAGGAAAAGAAAAUACUAAAAAAUAGCCAGGUGUGGUGGUGCACGCCUGUGGUCCCAGCUACUUGGGAGGCUGAGGUGGGAGAAUCACUUGAGUCUGGGGUGCAGAGGCUGCAGUGAGCUGAGAUCAUGCCACUGCACUCCAGCCUGGGCAACAGAGCAAGACUGUGUCUCAAAAAAGAAAAAAAAUCCUCGAUAAAACUACAGAACCUUGCACUUGUAGCAACCAAUGCUUCCACUCCACACUGGAGUUCUCUCUGAAAGCAUUGCAAAAAUCCCUGUUAAGGUCAUGGGCCAAAACAUAAGGGAGACAAAACCACAAAGGGUGACAUCAGUUGCUUGUAAUGGUUUAGCUGCCAUGUGGUGGUAGCCAUAAGACGGCUGCUAAUCUGUAUCUU
rnacentral:lncRNA from 1 species